rnacentral:rRNA from 1 species
GAUGAACGCUGGCGGCGUGCCUAAUACAUGCAAGUCGAGCGAACGGACGAGAAGCUUGCUUCUCUGAUGUUAGCGGCGGACGGGUGAGUAACACGUGGAUAACCUACCUAUAAGACUGGGAUAACUUCGGGAAACCGGAGCUAAUACCGGAUAAUAUUUUGAACCGCAUGGGUCAAAAGUGAAAGACGGUCUUGCUGUCACGUAUAGAUGGAUCCGCGCUGCAUUAGCUAGUUGGUAAGGUAAAGGCCUACCAAGGCAACGAUGCAUAGCCGACCUGAGAGGGGGGUAGGCCACCCUUGAACUUGACCACCGUCCAUGCUCCUAAGGGAGGGCACAGUAGGGAACUUUCCGCAAUGGGGGGAAACCUUGCGGAACCACCGCCGGUGGGUUGCGGAAGUCCUCCGAUCGGAAAAACCUUUUAUUAGGGGAAAACCUCUGUGUAAGUAACUGUGCACAUCUUGACGGUACCUAAUCAGAAAGCCACGGCUAACUACGUG